GGGAAUAGAAAGCGAAAGCUGCAGCAACACAUUAAACAGAUAAUGUUAGACAGGUAGCAACAAACAAUUUAGAUACAAGUGCUGGACCUAAAUACAUGUGUACAAAUGUAUGUAUAGCAGUGGUUCCACUUGCCACAGACACUAAAUGUUCAUUUCCUCAAUUUGUGUUCAUUCUCAAUGGGAGACGGAGGCCUGUACAGCGAGAGAGAUAACGAAGAUAGUGGAGAUAUGUAUCUCCAUAGAGCCAGACACAAAGAGCACACUGGCUACGCUUAUUGUUGUUGCUAGGGGGAUCUGAGUUCGAUGUGCUCUACAGAUUACAGUAAGUAAGGCCAAAGAAAUGUCCCCAUAAAUUUAUACCCGGUUUUUCCUUCCCCCAGUUUUCGAAUGGCUUUCCAAAAUAUUUGAUGACUCCUCCGGUAUCCGGCUAUUGUGUGUUUUACGAUAACGUAAAAUCCGCUUAAUAAAUCUGUCCCAAGCGCUGACAGCUCAAUUGUCAAUUAGAUCAAUGCAACAAGUGACUCCAUCAACAAAUACACACAGACAACAACAAAUAAAAGGUAAACUCUGCUAAAUGAAUUCGGGGUCCAAUAACAUUUUGUUUUUUUUUGUUUUGUUUUGAUUUGUCAUCAGAUACGAUGUGUUCGCGAGGAGGGAGACGUGACAUUGCCUGCAUACAAAUUUAAAUUUGGCAAAGAAAAGAGAGAUAACAAUUUGAUUUUGAUUUUUCUGCGUAGAUUUGAAUUGGGUCUGGCCUCAAAUAUUCGUUCGCCUGUUUCUAACGUUUUUGACCAUUUUAGACAAGGUCGC
rnacentral:lncRNA from 1 species